rnacentral:lncRNA from 1 species
CGGCAGCAUGAGCAGAGGAGGACGUCGACAUGCGCCUGAGGCGGUGGGGAGGACUUGACCAAGGGGAGGAGGAGGCGGCAGCAGCAGCAGCAGCAGGGUUUGGUCGGCAGGGACGGCGAAAGAGGAGGAGGAGGCGGCGCAUAGAAGAAGGGAAGAGGAGAGAAGAGGCACCGCCGGCGAUCGAGACGACAGAAGAAGCCGGCAGCCGGCCGCUCCGCCACGCCACCGCGACCUGCUGUGUUUACUUCUUCGGUCCGACGAGGAAGCUUCCUCCGUGAAAUGGAUCCGC